UUUAUUGGAGAGUUUGAUCCUGGCUCAGGAUGAACGCUGGCGGCGUGCCUAAUACAUGCAAGUCGAGCGAAUGGAUUAAGAGCUUGCUCUUAUGAAGUUAGCGGCGGACGGGUGAGUAACACGUGGGUAACCUGCCCAUAAGACUGGGAUAACUCCGGGAAACCGGGGCUAAUACCGGAUAACAUUUUGAACUGCAUGGUUCGAAAUUGAAAGGCGGCUUC
rnacentral:rRNA from 1 species